rnacentral:rRNA from 1 species
GACGAACGCUGGCGGCGUGCUUAACACAUGCAAGUCGAGCGGUAAGGCCCUUUCGGGGGUACGACGAGCGGCGAACGGGUGAGUAACACGUGGGUGACCUGCCCUCCAGCUCUGGGAUAAGCCUGGGAAACGUGGGUCGUAAUACCGGAUAUGACUCCAUGACGCAUGUUGUGGGGUGGAAAGCCUUGUGCGGCUGAGGAUGGGCCCGCGGCCUAUCAGCUUGUUGGUGGGGUGAUGGCCUACCAAGGCGACGACGGGUAGCCGGCCUGAGAGGGCGACCGGCCACACUGGGACUGAGACACGGCCCAGACUCCUACGGGAGGCAGCAGUGGGGAAUCUUGCGCAAUGGGCGAAAGCCUGACGCAGCGACGCCGCGUGAGGGAUGACGGCCU